rnacentral:sRNA from 1 species
GCCCCUCACGCUGUGCAACUGCUCUCUCCAGGUAGCACGAUGCCCACAACCCUUGAAUGAGCCUGAGACAAUUAUUACCAUUUGGAGGCAUGUCCAUUUAGCGUAGUUAACUAUCAUUAAAGGUCAUUCAUUGCUCGAUGUUCCAAUAUGCUUCCUCUCUUGUAUUUGCCAAUCGUUCGACUCUCCUAUCAUACAUGCGUACGUAGAUCCAGCUAGAAGCCACGUUCCUCAAUCUCCAUCUCCGGACAUCCAUCAAUAUCUGGGAGUCGAGAUCUUUCUCAUGUCCGUGCCACAAACUGGAUCUCGGGGCCUCUCCAUCUUUCCAAGGUUCCCCCGAUCAUUCAAGAACCAUAGACCCAGGAAAUCCUACCAAAAAUCGCGGAAAAGCAAACUAUAAAAGAACGCCAGUAAAUGCGCCCGCCAGUAGCCGGCAAAAAUAUCUAUUAACGCAAAGCAAGACAAGGAAAAAGGUCGUAUCUCUAUAUCCCACCCAAACAAAACGCCCGAAAGAGAGAACGAAAAUAAAUGAAAUAUCAAUGUCUCCCCUGCAUACCCGCCUGUUCACUCAAUCCGACGGCUGCCUCAUCCACGCAUCAAUCGCCGCACUGAACGCCGCGAACCCAGCACACCCCAACAUCGCCGCCUGAGGGCCUGCUUUGGCCCCCAAUACUCCCCCCGUAAUACACCCGGCCGCAAUGCCAUUCGCCAGGUCAUUCUUCGCACGCAACCCUUCAAUGCAGCAUUCCGUCCCGCUGAACAUGGCGCCAACAAGGGCAAAAUUCUUCGCGGAGCUGUACGAGCGGCUACCCAUGUCUUUGAAGCCGCGGCGGAGCUGUUCGCGGACGGGGAGCGAUGAGAGCUCACGGCCUUGGGGGGUCAAGGGAGUGUCGUAGGACAUCUGUUGGGGUUGAGACGGGGAUUUGCGGUUUGGUUAGUGGGCGGACGGUUCCUUCUUCUCUUUUAGGGGGUGUGUAUAGGAGAAUGGAUUGGAUAGAUAUGCGGUCUCUUGUGGUAUGGAGUAAGGUCGGUAUAGAUAGGGGUGGGUAUGACGUACACUGCUCAUGAAUAAACCAAAAGCACCUCCGAGCGCGAAGCCCAUUCCGCCCGCCAUGACGGAUUUGACAGGACAGGAUUCCAUUGCUGCUUGGAUCUAUUCAUCUCAUCACCACUCAGUUAGUAGCGUUCCACGUUACAUCUGCCGUAGAGCAACCAGCCAACACAAGGGCCAAAGUAAGGUAACCCAGGCGCAAACGGAGGGACGCCGUGGUUCGCCACUCACAGUCUUCACCAUCGCCGCCUCCUGAUCACUCAUUCCCGCUGUACUGGCUCCUCCGAUUCCCAUCCCUGCUGCCACCGAUGACGCAGCUGCGGAGGUUCCCCCGCCGAGGCCUGGGAAACUCAUCUUGCGUGGCCUAUCUGUGUAUAUGUACCGGGUUCGGACUGAGGUGUCCUCCCACCGUGGCAGGCGUAUCGAAUAUUUUGGUAGCAGUGUGCAGGUGGUAUCCUUGGGUAAAGAGUUUCAGGGCACGAGACAGGUGGGUUCCUCGGAUUUCUUGCUUUUCCUUCUUGUGUUUUUGUCGCUGUAUGUAGCUCCCUCACGGAAUAGCUGGAAUGAGGAACGGCUGCGGUUGGGGGGUUUAUAAUAAUAUGAGUACCAGAUGUGUGGAAUAUGGAGGAAUCGCAAAGGGAAUAUAUCUAUAGUAUAUUUCUCUUCUUUUUCCGAACCCAGGCGCAGUUAAGAUAGUUAUAUCCAUCGAGCUCCUCGCUUGAAUUCAAAAAAAAAAGUUCAGAUGCCA